CCUCAGCUUCCUUCUUAUCUGAAAAGGGAAGAGAACACCGUUGCUACUAGUUGUGGGGCAAUGCCGAUCUGCGUAAGGGACCUUCGCAAAACGCCCUUCAAGAAGAGCCGAGGGAAGAACAUUUAGUCUGAUCAAAUAUAAAGAAAGAGAUUCUUUAGUUCCCAAUGACUUGUAACUUUGGGCAAAGAGAGAAAUUGUCUGGGAUCUUCUUGCUUUCAAGAGCAGACAAUAAUUAUUUUAGUCUAAUGAUUAUCUCGAACUGCUCAUCUGGAGUGAAAUCUUUAUAAGAAACAAGAAGAAAGAACUCCUCAGGCAUGAACAGAUGGCGCCCGCAUCUCAGCCCAUCCAUAGGAGUUCCCAUUUGCUCAUCCAGUCCCGAUCCAGGAAUCAGUUCCCAGACAAGUAGUAUUCCUACCUCGAGAUUACUUAAGGGGCCUGGAAGGGGGGCAUGUCCCAGUGCUGUAACAACAUUUUCACUUG